rnacentral:rRNA from 1 species
CCAAUAGCGUAUAUUAAAGUUGUUGCAGUUAAAAAGCUCGUAGUUGAACUUCGGGGUUCACCCAUUGGUCAGGCUUAAUUGUCUGUACUGGUGAGAUGAGUCUCUACCUUCUGAGGAACUUUCAUGCCAUUUAUUUGGUGUGGUUGGAAAUCAGGACUGUUACUUUGAAAAAAUUAGAGUGUUUAAAGCAGGCUAACGUCUGAAUACAUU